rnacentral:rRNA from 1 species
GACGAACGCUGGCGGCGUGCUUAACACAUGCAAGUCGAACGAUGAAGCCGGAGCUUGCUCUGGUGAAUUAGUGGCGAACGGGUGAGUAACACGUGAGUAACCUGCCCUUGACUCUGGGAUAACUGCUAGAAAUGGUAGCUAAUACCGGAUACGACCCUCGGAGGCAUCUCCAGGGGGUGGAAAGAAUUUCGGUCAAGGAUGGACUCGCGGCCUAUCAGCUAGGUGGUGAGGUAACGGCUCACCAAGGCGACGACGGGUAGCCGGCCUGAGAGGGUGACCGGGCAAAGUGGGACUGAGACACGGCACAGACUCCUACGGGAGGCAGCAGUGGGGAAUAUUGCGCAAUGGGCGCAAGCCUGAUGCAGCACCGCCGCGUGAGGGAUGACGGCCUUCGGGUUGUAAACCUCUUUUAGUAGGGAAGAAGCGAAAGUGACGGUACCUGCAGAAAAAGCACCGGCUAACUACGUGCCAGCCGCCGCGGUAA